rnacentral:piRNA from 1 species
AGUGCCAUGAACUAUGCACAGUCCCAGGCAA